UUGACAGCUUUUUCCACCUCUAAAACCCACCAAUGGAUGGCCAUGCAUGUCUUGGACACCUGUGAGCUUCCUAUAACAGCUGAAACCUCCUUAAAUCAGAUUAAUUCAUCAAUUCUUGAGCACUUGUGUAGUAACCAAGAUCACUAGCAAACUUCAAAAAUUCACAAGAGCUUUCCAGGAGCUUUCUGAUCGUCAAGGCAACUUCCAAGUGCUAUCUAGGCAUCAAUAGGACCUUUCCUAUUCGAAUGCAUGUUUCCGAUUAGGAAGCCCGGUAAAAGCUACCAACACUUGUCGUUUGUGACUUAUACUUGCUCAGGAUCAGGAUGCCGCCAAGGAUGAGAGGUCGUGGAGGAUUUCCUACAUCGCACGAUCAUGAGGCUGGUCCCUCGCAUAGGCGGGCCCCAUCUGCUACACACCACACAGCCGCCAACGACCUUUGGAGGUCUUUUGCCGAGCCUGCUAGGCAUUCGGU
rnacentral:lncRNA from 1 species